rnacentral:rRNA from 1 species
UACGUAUGGUGCAAGCGUUGCUCGGAAUCACUGGGCGUAAAGGGUGUUUAGGCGGGUAUGUAAGUCUGUUGUGAAAUACCGCAGCUUAACUGCGGUGCUGCGACGGAAACUGCAUAUCUGGGGUCCCGGAGAGGCAGACGGAAUUCCCGGUGUAGCGGUGAAAUGCGCAGAUAUCGGGAGGAACACCGAUGGCGAAGGAAGUCUGCUGGACGGAGAAUGACUUUGAGGCACGAAAGCGUGGGGAGCAAACAGG